GACGUAGGGGGCAAGCGUUAUUCGGAAUUAUUGGGCGUAAAGCGCUCGUAGGCGGGACGGGAAGUCCGUGAAGAAAGACCUGGGCUCAACUCAGGGACCGGCACGGAUACUCUCGUUCUUGAGGCAAUCAGAGGUGAUGGAAUUCCCGGUGUAGCGGUGAAAUGCGUAGAUAUCGGAGGAACACCAGUGGCGAAGGCGAUCACCUGGGGUUGUUCUGACGCUGAGGAGCGAAAGCUAGGGAGCAAACGGG
rnacentral:rRNA from 1 species